GACGAACGCUGGCGGCGUGCUUAACACAUGCAAGUCGAACGGAAAGGCCCUGCUUGCAGGGUGCUCGAGUGGCGAACGGGUGAGUAACACGUGGGUGAUCUGCCCCUUACUUUGGGAUAAGCCUGGGAAACUGGGUCUAAUACUUGAUAGCACCAUGCUGUUGGUGGUGUGGUGGAAAGAUUAUCUUCGGUAAGGGAUGAGCUUGCGGCCUAUCAGCUUUUUGGUGGGGUAGUGGCCUACGCAGGCGUCGGCGGGUAGCCGGCCGGAGAGGGUGGACGGCCACGUCGAGACUGAGACAGGGGGCAGACGUCGGCGGGAGGCAGCAGUGGGGGAAAGUGCACAAUGGGCGUACGGCGGAUGUAGCGAAGGCGCGUGGGUGAUGACGGCCUUCUGGUUGUAAACAAAAUCCAGCGAUGACGAAGCCGCUGUGGUGACGGUAGUGGAAGAAGAAGCACCGGCUAACUACGUG
rnacentral:rRNA from 1 species